UUUGAGGUUUAAAAUCGACUUCUAGAGUGGCUGGGGGUGGCGCGUGACUAAGAUGCGUUGGUGGGUUAGGGAAGCUGCUGGUGCUUGAACCUUUGCUCCGAUGAGACUCGGGGCACUUGAAGGGUAGGAACAAGUGCAUCUUCUUCUUCUCUUUCUUCCUAUAUGGCAAUGCAACUCAUUGUUGCUCAUGGUAAGAAAUUGGAUCACCUGAAGUUUCAAUUUCCUUCCCUCUAUCGAUCUUCUCUCUCUUCUUAGUAUUGCUAUUAUUACUACUGUUAUGUGGGGCUGUGAGAUGAUUUCUAUGGUGGCUGGUAGUGGCGUGGAGGCUAGGUUUUGGGUGUGGUGAUCUAUCAAGUAGAGAGUGGCAAGGGGUUGUGUGGGUCAAUUUCUGUGGUUUGAAAAAUGGCAGAGAUGGUGGUUGUUGGGUCGCAAGGAAAAGAGGAUGACGAAUGGAGAUCAAAUCACUGCUAAUGGUGGCCAUGGUGGUCGACAAAACUAUGUCGGAGAUCAAAUCACUGCUAGUGGUGGCCAUGGUGGUCGACAAAACUAUGUCUAUCAUUAGUCGCUGGGAAUAGAGACGAGGAGGUUGUUGUGGCUUCAACUUCACCUAGUCUUGUCAAUUAUGUUGUGGCACAACUAGAAAUGAUCAUUUUAUUAUUUCUUAGUCCUCUACAAUUGGGGUCUAUGCAAGUGGUUGGAGCUUAAACCUGAACAUUCAAAAUCAUUGAAGGUCCAACAAUGCUGUUCAACCUGCUAUCUGCACAACCCAGAUUGCUGCAUUGAUGAGGCACUUGAUCACCUCAUCCAGCUGAAAAGGCAGGGGUUAUUCUAUUUACAAUUUUCUGUAAAAGUUAGGUUCUUUGAUUUAGCUGGUUUUUGUUUUUUAAUAAAAGCAGAAAAGCCUGUUUGCAAAA